CCCAUGCGCUGGUCGUGAUGCUCGCGGCGGCUACUGCGGUUAUCACGCGGAUGCAGCUCUGAAACAGCUCGCAAUGCACGCAGUGAUGUGCCGUCCGCAUCCCGGAGCGGCGUGCGGGGCCGGUAUCUAGUGUGAAGAUCGCCUUCGUCGCUUGCGUGCUCUGUUCUGCCGUCGUCCCCGUGCUAUCAGGAAAUCUACAGAGAGGAGUCGAAAAUGCAGAAAUGACAGCUCGCACACAAAUGCCUAAAGCUCUGAAGCUUGUAAGCUGCUUAGAAAGUCGCCCAAAACAUAUUGGCAUAGAGUUAUGGAGCCCGUCUGCAAAAAGGUAAGAAAAUUGUGAUAUUAACUUCUAAUAUUUUCACAUCUUUAUUUGAUUCAGAUAUUUCUAUUUAGAUGUAACUGCCAGUAGAGAGGUGAUGUCUCAUUAGAUGUAACCCAAUGAAAGAUUUCUCUCAUUAGAACUCCUAUAUGACUAGUGCUGCAGACUGUUAUGGGAUGCCUGCAAUUUUUAAUUAUAAACCGACACAUGGAGCCGAGGUUUUCUUAAGAGACGCAAGGGGUACCUACUUAAAACGUGUACAAUUUCUAAUGGGCAGGCUAUGUGCAUGUGGCACCCUUGGAGUUGCAAAUAUACAUAGGCUUUGGUAACUACUUACUAUCAGCAAAGAUAGAUAUAACUCCGUAAUAGAUGGAUACAGUCUAAGGAAAAAACGUGCCUCGAAAAUCAAGAAAAUUUGAUUCUCGUUCAGAGGGCGCUACUGAAUUUACUGGGGUUACAAAAUUUACUAUGACAGUACCGCUCUAGUAUAAGUUACUCUAUGCUAUCAGGAAGGACGGGAUGUAACACCUUCCUUUAAUCUAUGAUCAGCGUGUGGUGCUAUGUGUUUGAUGAUUUUAUUUAUAGUUAGGUUCAUAUUAGCUAGAGUGAGGUUUUCUAUGGCAACAUUAAAAAUAAUAGAGAUAAUUCAAGCAAAUGAAAGAGAGAGAGAGAGAGAGAGAAAAUUUAUUUAACAUCACAAAACAUUAUUAAACACACAUCUUGAAAAAUAUGUACCUACUUAAUAGUUUACAACUUUACAUACUAAAGUGCACUGUCUUCACAAUCUAUUGACUCGCACAUAUUGUAUACUAUUGUAAUAUUUAUGAUGUCACAGUAAUAGCUGGUCUUAUGUCUCUGACGAAAGAGUGUUAGGAGUUUUCCAGCUUCUUUCAUUAAUCAACACUCUAUGAUCUAUGAUAGUACUGCCUAUUCUGAUAAACUGUAAACUCAAUUUUUGGGGUUCCGUACCUCAAAAGGAAAAAACGGAACCCUUAUAGGACCACUUUGUUGUCCGUCUGUCCGUCCGUCCGUCCGUCUGUCAAGACCCUCUAUCUUACGUUUUUUGAUAAUUUUAUUUUUAGUUUUAAUCAUGUGUCGAUAGAUGGCAGUGAAUUUACUGUGGCUACAAAAUUUACUAUGACAGUAACCGCUCUAUCCUAUUAUAUCCUCUUCGGUAUGAGGUUUUUUUAGUAAAAUUUUACACGCUUUUAUUAACCGCCGCCGUCGCAAGAAAGUGCUAUAAGUUUGACCGCUAUGUCGUGUGUGUGUGUGUGUGUGUGUGGCUGUCUGUGAGGCCGUAGCUCUUAAACGGGUGAAGCUAGUUGAUUUUAUGUGCAACGUUGACUUCGUAGUCAAAAUAUUUUAACGACAAGUUUACCACCGAAAAAGUAUAACUACUCUUUUUAAGGUUCCAUAGCCAAAAUGGUAAAAACUUUCUGCACAUCCGUCUGUUUGUCCGUCAGUAUAUCACAGCUAUUUUGCUCACAAACUAUCAAUUAUAUUAAAAUAAUAUUUUAAUGAAGAUAGGUGCCACUUCACAAAACAAAACGGUUUUUAGGGUUCCGUACCCAAAGGGUAAAAACGGGACCCUAUUACUAAGACUCCGCUGUCUGUCUGUCUGUCCGUCCGUCUGUCAACUGGCGUUAUCUCAUGAACCGUGAUAGUUAGACAGCUGAAAUUUUCACAGAUGAUGUAUUUCUGUUGCCGCUAUGGCAACAAAUACUAAAAACAGAAUAAAAUAAAUAUUUAAGUGGGGCUUCCAUACAACAAACGUGAUUUUUUGCUGUCUUUUUCCGUAAUCGUACGGAACCCUUCGUGCGCGAGUCCGACUCGCACUUGGCCGGUUUUUUAUAGAGUGUGGAAGGUGCAUGGAGCAAGCAUUGCAUUUAUUCUUAGUUAGGCAUAUACAUAUUAUAUUGGUUUGAGUGAGGAUUCCUUAGCAAUUAUUAGUAUUUGGUCCUGUGAAGGACUGAUGAUGGAGACCAAUGGUAGCCAUACAGGGACUGUGUGAUGAAACAACACAACCUUAUUGAGGUUUGGCUUUUAGAACUGUUGUUCACUAAUAUAUAUGACUUCAGAAGAACAGAUGUAACAAAUAGAUGUACCUAUCACAUGAACUUCAGUAGGGUGUAGCUAUUAAUUUUCAGGGUUCCGUACCGGAAGGGUGAAAACGGGACCCUAUUACUAAGACUCCACUCGUCUGUCCGUCUUGUCUGUCUGUCUGUCACCAGGCUGUAUCUCAUGAACCGUGAUAGCUAGACUGCUGUAUUUCUGUUGCCGCUAUAACAACAAAUACUAAAAAGUACGGAACCCGAGUCCGACUCGCACUUGUCCGGUUUUUUAUCAACCCAAAUUCUACAGGUUAAAUAACAUAACCAUUCACUUUCUUCUGGUAGCGGUAGCACACUCGUAUUUCCUAAGCUAGGAAAUAGUUUUCACGCAAUAUCCAGCAAUGAACAGCGUAUGUGUUUUUAGGGUUCCGUACCCAAAGGGUAAAAACGGGACCCUAUUAUUAAGACUCCUCUGUUCGUCUGUCUGUCACAAGGCUAUAUCUCAUAAACAGUGAUAGCUAGAAAGUUAAAUUUUCAAUAACAACAAAUACUAAAAAGUACGAAACCCUCGGUGGGCGAGGCCGACUCGCACUUGUUCAGUUUUUUUGUUAAAUAUUACAAGUCUUUUGUAAACCCCCGAAGCAAAAAGAGGGGUGUUAUACUUUUACCGUGUUUGUCUGUAACACCGUGUCUCUUAAACGGGCAAACCGAUCGGACGCAGAUAUUUUAGCACUUGUUCUUCGACAUGUUUCAUCAAAAUAUUCUUUAUUGCACACUUCAACACAAGAAAAUAAUACAGAUAAUACAGUAACUCAAGCAGAGGUAUUAAACAACAGGUGGUCUUAUCGUUAAAAAGCUUUUAUUAGGUUAGUCCAACGACGUGUAAAGCCGCUCAUACCCUCCAGAAUUCAGGGCAUCCAAAGAAAUCCAUUAUUAUCGGCCGCCUUGCCUCCGACUGCCUACAAGAGUGAACGUGGAGUCGUCGCCGCACCGCAUCUUCCGCUACUCACCGGCGGCUGGUUCAAGAACUCUACGAUCCUGCAGGCUCCUGAUAUAAAACUGUCCUUCUCAGGAUAAAUACAACUGCCCUUUUCAGGGCAACAGAAAAACUGUUCUUUUCAGAACAAAUGUCACUGUUUCUAUGACGACACAGCUUCAAGUGUUCUUUUCAGAACACUUGGUUCCUGUUUCUAUGUUUAUACACAGAUCAAUCGAUGCCUCUUUUUAGCGAUAACACCGUUUGGUGCCUCUACCAAAAUUGUUUAUGUUUUUAUACAUGUAUUGUAAACUGUGUGCAAUAAAGAGUAUCGUGUUGAACCACUUGUACCCUCGUAUAUAUUAAGUUAAUGUAAUACUAGGAAUCAUGAUAUUUUAAUAAAAAAGAAUAUGUCAGUUUAUUCUGAUACUUGUACUUGUGUCGCAUUCUUGUUCCCCAUGCGCUGACCGUGAGGCUCGCGAUGUGUGUGAUCGUGUAAGCGAUGUCCCGCUCGCAUCCCGGAGCGGCGUGCGGACCCGCGUCCAAUGUGAAGAUCGCCCACGUCGCCUGCACGCUCUGCUCUGCACUCGACACCAUGCUGACAGCUCUGAAACAGCUCGCAAUGCACGCAGUGAUGUGCCGUCCGCAUCCCGGAGCGGCGUGCGGGGCCGGUAUCUAGUGUGAAGAUCGCCUUCGUCGCUUGCGUGCUCUGUUCUGCCGUCGUCCCCGUGCUAUCAGGAAAUCUACAGAGAGGAGUCGAAAAUGCAGAAAUGACAGCUCGCACACAAAUGCCUAAAGCUCUGAAGCUUGUAAGCUGCUUAGAAAGUCGCCCAAAACAUAUUGGCAUAGAGUUAUGGAGCCCGUCUGCAAAAAGGUAAGAAACUUGUGAUAUUAACUUCUAAUAUUUUCACAUCUUUAUUUGAUUCAGAUAUUUCUAUUUAGAUGUAACUGCCAGUAGAGAGGUGAUGUCUCAUUAGAUGUAACCCAAUGAAAGAUUUCUCUCAUUAGAACUCCUAUAUGACUAGUGCUGCAGACUGUUAUGGGAUGCCUGCAAUUUGUAAUUAUAAACCGACACAUGGAGCCGAGGUUUUCUUAAGAGACGCAAGGGGUGCUAUCAGGAAGGACGGGAUGUAACACCUUCCUUUAAUCUAUGAUCAGCGUGUGGUGCUAUGUGUUUGAUGAUUUUAUUUAUAGUUAGGUUCAUAUUAGCUAGAGUGAGGAUUUCUAUGGCAACAUUAAAAAUAAUAGAGAUAAUUCAAGCAAAUGAAAGAGAGAGAGAGAGAGAAAAUUUAUUUAACAUCACAAAACAUUAUUAAACAUCUUGAAAAAUAUGUACCUACUUAAUAGUUUACAACUUUACAUACUAAAUUGCACUGUCUUCACAAUCUAUUGACUCGCACAUAUUGUAUACUAUUGUAAUUUUUAUGAUGUCACAGUAAUAGCUGGUCUUAUGUCUCUGACGAAAGAGUGUUAGGAGAUUUCCAGCUUCUUUCAUUAAUCAACACUAUGAUCUAUGAUAGUACUGCCUAUUCUGAUAAACUGUAAACUCAAUUUUUGGGGUUCCGUACCUCAAAAGGAAAAAACGGAACCCUUAUAGGACCACUUUGUUGUCCGUCUGUCCGUCCGUCCGUCCGUCCGUCCGUCUGUCUGUCAAGACCCUCUAUCAUACGUUUUUUGAUAAUUUUAUUUUUAGUUUUAAUCGUGUGUCGAUAUAUGGCAGUGAAUUUACUGUGGCUACAAAAUUUACUAUGACAGUAACCGCUCUAUCCUAUUAUAUCCUCUUCGGUAUGAGGUUUUUUUAGUAAAAUUUUACACGCUUUUAUUAACCCCCGCCGUCGCAAGAAAGUGCUAUAAGUUUGACCGCUAUGUCGUGCGUGUGUGUGUGUGUGUGUGUGUGUGUGUGUGUGUGUGUGUGUGUGUGUGUGUGUGUGUGUGUGUGUGUGUGUGUGAGUGUGUGAGUGAGUGCGCGUGCGUGUGUGUGUGUGUGAGUGUGUGUGGCUGACUGUGAGGCCGUCGCUCUUAAACGGUUUAAGCUAGUUGAUUUUAUGUGCAACGCUGACUUUGCACAUAGCCCAUAUUAACACGCUUACAGUAGUCAAAAUAUUUUAACGACAAGUUUACCACCGAAAAAGUAUAACUACUCUUAUUAAGGUUCCAUAGCCAAAAUGGUAAAAACUUUCUGUACAUCCGUCUGUUUGUCCGUCAGUAUGUCACAGCUAUUUUGCUCACAAACUAUCAAUUAUGUUAAAAUAAUAUUUUAAUGAAGAUAGGUGCCACUUCCGUACCCAAAGGGUAAAAACGGGACCCUAUUACUAAGACUCCGCUGUCUGUCUGUCUGUCCGUCCGUCUGUCAACUGGCGUUAUCUCAUGAACCGUGAUAGUUAGACAGCUGAAAUUUUCACAGAUGAUGUAUUUCUGUUGCCGCUAUGGCAACAAAUACUAAAAACAGUAUAAAAUAAAUAUUUAAGUGGGGCUUCCAUACAACAAACGUGAUUUUUUUGCUGUUUUUUUUUCGUAAUGGUACGGAACCCUUCGUGCGCGAGUCCGACUCGCACUUGGCCGGUUUUUUAUAGAGUGUGGAAGGUGCAUGGAGCAAGCAUUUCAUUUAUUCUUAGUUAGGCAUAUACAUAUUAUAUUGGUUUGAGUGAGGAUUCCUUAGCAAUUAUUAGAUUAUUAGUAUUUGGUCCUGUGAAGGACUGAUGAUGGAGACCAAUGGUAGCCAUACAGGGACUGUGUGAUGAAACAACACAACCUUAUUGAGGUUUGGCUUUUAGAACUGUUGUUCACUAAUAUAUAUGACUUCAGAAGAACAGAUGUAACAAAUAGAUGAAUCAUGAACCUAUCACAUGAACUUCAGUAGGGUGUAGCAUUUAAUUUUCAGGGUUCCGUACCGAAAGGGUGAAAACGGAACCCUAUUACUAAGACUCCACUCGUCUGUCCGUCUUGU